rnacentral:lncRNA from 1 species
UUUAGUUUAUGAGCCACAGCCAUAUAAACAAUUUAUAAACAAAAAUCCAUAAGAAACCGUUGAGUUUGCGCAUCAAAAUUGAAACGGCCGCGGUGACCUAGCUGGCGCCUGGACUUUUAAUUGGCUUGGAAAAAAUAUUGAGAAUUGUGCAUUGUACCAAUAGCCACUACUGUCAAAUAAAUACAUCCAAAAUACGUUUCGACUAUUUUGCUGUCAAGUUAAGUGACACUAAGCCAAUGAGAUACCGAAACUCUCGAUAAUAUUGAACUGUGUUGAUCCCUUAUACGGAGCCCUUAAGGAUAAAAGAUGGGAUUCAUGAAGACAGGGUUCGAGAGUAAGGACUAAUGACCUGACAGAGGAUCCUGUUGGGGAUAUUACACUGAGUGGGGAAUAUUCGGUCAGUUUAUUAAAGUUUUAAGUUUUAUUAAGAGAAUGCUUAACAAGUUCUCGAAGAAAUUGGAAAGAAAAACGUGUUGAAUUUAAUUCUUAAAAGUAAUAUGUUGUGGAUUAAAAACAUUUGUUACAGGAAUAAUAUGGAUACAUUUGGACCCAUAAGACCACGUUCGAACUGCUCGCACCCGCGACAUAGACCAAGACUUGUUCCAGGACGCCAAGCGCAAUAUUUCGUUGCAUGCCUCUUUUUAUCCAUCGUACUUUGUGUGUUAAUUGGAUUAUUUAGUUACGUGGCUACACACAUUAAUUGGCCACCUCCAUGAUGAGAAUAUUUACAUUUCAUGUGAUCUAAACUUAACUAUAAAAUUUCUUAUUCAACAUAAUAAUAUAUAUUAUACUAAA